rnacentral:lncRNA from 1 species
CCCCCAUCAGUUAUGAUGUUAUUCUGAUGUGUACCCUCCCAUCAGUUAUGAUGUUAUUCUGAUGUGUACCCCCCAUCAGCUAUGAUGUUAUUCUGAUGUGUACCCCCAUCAGUUAUGAUGUUAUUCUGAUAUGUACCCCCAAUCAGUUAUGACGUUAUUCUGAUGUGUACCCCCAUCAGUUUUGUGGUGUUAUUCUGAUGUGUACCCCCCAUCAGUUGUGAUUUUAUUCUGAUGUGUACCCCCCCAUCAGUUGUGAUGUUAUUCUGAUGUGUACCCCCCCAUCAGUUGUGAAGCUAUUCUGAUUUGUAAACCCCCCAUCAUUGUGAUGUUAUUCUGAUGUGUACCCCCCCAUCAGUUGUGAAGCUAUUCUGAUUUGUAAACCCCCCAUCAGUUAUGUUGUUAUUCUAAUGUGUACUACUGUUUACCAGGGCCAAUAUGGCUCUAAAGUAGUGCACUAUAAAGGCGUUGCAUAAAGCCGAUGGGUAUAAUGCAUUGGUACUUGUUAUAAACUUUGUGAGCCUCUAUAACAUCCAGACCUAUUCUGAUGGGUACCCCCCAUCAGUUAUGAUGUUAUUCUGAUGUGUACCCCCCCCCAUCAGUUAUGAUGUUAUUCUGAUGUGUACCCCCCAUCAGUUAUGAUGUUAUUCUGAUGGGUACCCCCC